rnacentral:miRNA from 1 species
UCUCGUGUGGGCGGAGGGGCUCC